GACGAACGCUGGCGGCGUGCUUAACACAUGCAAGUCGAACGGAAAGGCCCUGCGUUUGUGGGGUUCUCGAGUGGCGAACGGGUGAGUAACACGUGAGUAACCUGCCCUUCACUUUGGGAUAACUUCAGGUAAGUGGAGCUAAGACCGUAUAGGAUCUCCUGCUGGAUUGUGGGGGUUGGAAAGUUUCGGCGGUUGGGGAUGGACUCGCGGCUGAUCAGCUUGUUGGUGGGGUAGUGGCUUACCAAGGCUUUGACGGGUAGCCGGCCUGAGAGGGUGACCGGCCACAUUGGGACUGAGAUACGGCCCAGACUCCUACGGGAGGCAGCAGUGGGGAAUAUUGCACAAUGGGAGGAAGCCUGAUGCAGAAACGCCGCGUGCGGGAUGACGGCCUUCGGGUUGUAAACCGCUUUCGCCUGUGACGAAGCGUGAGUGACGGUAAUGGGUAAAGAAGCACCGGCUAACUACGUG
rnacentral:rRNA from 1 species